CAGCCGCCGCGGGAAUACGAAGGGGGCUAGCGUUGUUCGGAAUUACUGGGCGUAAAGCGCACGUAGGCGGAUAUUUAAGUCAGGGGUGAAAUCCCGCAGCUCAACUGCGGAACUGCCUUUGAUACUGGGUAUCUUGAGUAUGGAAGAGGUUAGUGGAAUUGCGAGUGUAGAGGUGAGAUUCGUAGAUAUUCGCAGGAACACCAGUGGCGAAGGCGGCUAACUGGUCCAUAACUGACGCUGAGGUGCGAAAGCGUGGGGAGCAAACAGGAUUAGAUACCCGAGUAGUCCCUGUCUCUUAUAC
rnacentral:rRNA from 1 species